rnacentral:rRNA from 1 species
AUUGAACGCUGGCGGCAGGCCUAACACAUGCAAGUCGAGCGGCAGCGGAAAGUAGCUUGCUACUUUGCCGGCGAGCGGCGGACGGGUGAGUAAUGUCUGGGAAACUGCCUGAUGGAGGGGGAUAACUACUGGAAACGGUAGCUAAUACCGCAUAACGUCGCAAGACCAAAGAGGGGGACCUUCGGGCCUCUUGCCAUCAGAUGUGCCCAGAUGGGAUUAGCUAGUAGGUGGGGUAACGGCUCACCUAGGCGACGAUCCCUAGCUGGUCUGAGAGGAUGACCAGCCACACUGGAACUGAGACACGGUCCAGACUCCUACGGGAGGCAGCAGUGGGGAAUAUUGCACAUGGGCGCAAGCCUGAUGCAGCCAUGCCGCGUGUAUGAAGAAGGCCUUCGGGUUGUAAAGUACUUUCAGCGGGGAGGAAGGUGUUGAGGUUAAUAACCUCAGCAAUUGACGUUACCCGCAGAAGAAGCACCGGCUAACUCCGUGCCAGCCGCCGCAGUAA